GAUGAACGCUGGCGGCGUGCCUAAUACAUGCAAGUCGAGCGAACAGACGAGGAGCUUGCUCCUCUGACGUUAGCGGCGGACGGGUGAGUAACACGUGGAUAACCUACCUAUAAGACUUGGAUAACUUCGGGAAACCGGAGCUAAUACCGGAUAAUAUAUUGAACCGCAUGGUUCAAUAGUGAAAGACGGUUUUGCUGUCACUUAUAGAUGGAUCCGCGCCGCAUUAGCUAGUUGGUAAGGUAACGGGUUACCAAGGCAACGAUGCGUAGCCGACCUGAGAGGGUGAUAGGCAACACUGGAACUGAGACACGGUCCAGACGCCUACGGGAGGCAGCAGUAGGGAAUCUUCCGCAAUGGGAGAAAGCCUGACGGAGCAAGGCCGCGUGAGUGAUGAAGGUAUUCGGAUCGUAAAACUCUGUUAUUAGGGAAGAACAAAUGUGUAAGUAACUAUGCACGUCUUGACGGUACCUAAUCAGAAAGCCACGACUAACUACGUG
rnacentral:rRNA from 1 species